rnacentral:piRNA from 1 species
UCUUAGAGAGAAAGGCAAUGUCCUGACAC